rnacentral:snRNA from 2 species
AUACCUUUCUCGGCCUUUUGGCUAAGAUCAAGUGUAGUAUCUGUUCUUAUCAGUUUAAUAUCUGAUAUGUGGACCAAUGGUCCACACGAUAUUAAAUUACUUUUUAAAGGGAGAGAGUCUGCCUAGUAGCUUGCUGCUUGGGCUCUCAAGUGUCGCCUUUGCGUUGCACUAUUGCAUGGGCUGGCGCAUCCCAC